CCUAAUUGUGUGCCAUUCAAAACCUGUUUCACCAAAUCAACAUCCAAGCAUGGUUUACCAAUCUCUGAAUUAUUACAUCAAAAUCAGACGUGACAAAAUUUAAUAGAUAAUACUUCAAAAUAAUAAGAAACCAUUGAUCUCUACAUUCCAGUUGUAACAUGAAUUUUUGCUAGCCACCAGAUAAUUUCGUGUAGCACAUAUCCCCAACAAAACAAACACACACAUACAAAGUAAAAUGGAACAUCUAAAUCGGUUUUUUCAUUUACAAAUCAAGUGUGUGCCAUAAAUUUGUGUCUAUGGCAAUCUAUGCAGCCCUAGCUUGUGCUCAGCCUGAUUUCAAUCUAAAAUCAGCAUGGCAUUAGAACAUGG
rnacentral:lncRNA from 1 species